AGAUUGCAUAUAAAGAAUUCAUUUUCUGAUUUUUAAAAGGGUCUCCAGAUAGUCUUUAUGAUCUUUUAAGAUAUGUUUUAGGAAACAGCAAUUACUCAGUGAAAUCUAAAACAGCAGGUUUUUUUGUGUGUGUAUGUCCACUGUAAGAUGGAAAUUUGGUAGGGUUUUACCUUUUGGAUGGAGUUGGGAGAGCCAUAAUUGUGUGUGUGUGUGUACAUAUGUGUUGUAAAUAUGUAUGUGGGUAAAUCUUGAGUAGGAAAUGAAACCUUAAUUUUUAUGUUGCUUAGAGCCAUUCUAUUGGUUUUAUGAAUGCACAGCACAGAAUUUACUGGUUGGAGGAAUUCUUAACAAAUCAUGGCCACAGGUAGCAGAGUUCUGUUGCUGUGGCAACAAAAUGUCAUUUAGGACUACACUAAGACAGUAGAGAAUCCAGCUUUCAUAUUGGGUUUUACAGGGAGUUAGAGAUGAAAAGGAGUGACCUAUCUUGAGGAGCAACAUGUUAGGAAGACUUGGUAACUCUAGAAAUGUGUCUCACUCUGCUUUCCAGGCACCUAGUGAAUUUUUUGGCCAUUAAGCAUGACCUCUUCAGUGUCUGUGGAGCAGAACUGAGUGACAGAUGCAGAUGAGGCAGGGCAGCUCAUCUCCCUAGCCCAGAGUUUCCUCCUUCAAUGAUGAUACCUCCGUCUGCAGCAGACCUAGAGAGGAAGAUUAAGAUUUGCUGGGGGAAAUGAAACAAAACAGUGAAACCUGCUGUGUGCCCAGAGGAGAAAAGAACUGGAUGGUCUCUGAACUUCUCUAAUGAUGGAGCCAAGUCUACACUCCAUGUGGUCAGGCCACAGGGGCUGUGCCUUUGUCAUACAGUGACUAUAACUGGAAGGAAAUACACGGCAGGUAUCCUGAGCCACAUGUGGUCCAGAAUAGUGUUGUCACUGAGGAUGCAGGACACAUGCCAUGGAAAGAAUUGAAGUAAAAUUCCCCUGUAAUAAAUAUGUUUGCUGUUGUGUGACAUGGCAUGCUGUUACAUGGGGAACAGUGCUGUGUGAUGGGUAAGAAAUGGAUUCUGGAGUUAGACUGGCUGAAAUGCCAGUUCUAUCACAGACAACCUGUGUGACCUUGGGCAAGUUACUGAACGUCUCUGUGCUUCAGUUACCUCACAUUGAAAUGGGAAUAAAAUAUCACCUAUGGUACAGUGUCAUAUCAUUGAAAUGGAUUUUAAAAAUUGUUUAUGAGUGUGGGUGUGCAUUGCUAUUGGACUAGUAAGUAUGGAAUUCAUAGUAAACAUUGAGUAAAUGUUAGCUGCUAUCUUUACUUUGAAUUUCAUCAUUCCACAGGGUAAAUGACAUUUCUAAAAGCUUAACUAUAAGCAAAGCAGUUUGAGGACCCAUUUGAUGUAAAGAUACCACUGUGUUAUUUAUUAUGUAAAGCAGACUCGUGGUGCUUGGUUACAGGUUAAUGUUUGUCCAUUUCCAUUUGUGGUUAAGAAUUAGAGAUGUGGUGCAUAGAAUCUUGUUUUCUACAGUAGGAUUAUAGGUAGAAUCAGAAUCCUGUUUUAAGACUAUAAACAUAAAACAGUUUGUUGACUUAGUUAUUAAAUGUAUCUGUACCUAGCAAGCCUAAUGUAUGAAAAUCCAGAUGUGGAAAAAGAGGUUUUUGUUGUGAAAAACUUAGAGACUUUUGUUUUUUCAAAAUUAUUUAUUAAGCUCUAGAAUAGUGGUUGUCAGUUGGGUCAUGGGAGUGAUUUUUAGCCCCAGCAGACACUUGGCAGUAUUUGGGGACAUCUGGCAAUGUCUGGAGACAUUUUUCAAACUGGACGUGGGGAGAUAAUUGUGGCCAGAGAUGCUGCCAAAGUCCCACUAUAGACAGGACAGCCGCCCGCCCGAACAAAGAAUUUUCAGGCCCAAAUAUCAGUAGUGCCAAGAUGGAGAAACCCUCACCUAGAAAUAGAAAUCAAUUUACCAUGGGCCAUUUUAAAUUAAAAGAAUCCUUAGAGUGCAGGUAAUUCCUGUCUUGGUAAGUACAUUUUCAAUGACCUAUUGGAAAUAGUAGCAGGCUCUUUCCAAACACUGCCGGGCACCUUAUUCAAGCAAAGCUGUGCUGUCAGGUGUAGCAGAGUCUUUUAAAUGAGAAGUCUUAUGUUAAUUAAUUAUCACCCAUGAAAGCAACUGUGAGGCUAUUUCUGUUUAGAUGCUUUUAUGUUCGUCACCAAAAUGGGUCCUCUCCAACUGCUGUGGCAGCAUAUUUGGAGAGUUACGUGUUCCUUUGCUUCUUGUAAGACCUGGAAGAUUGUGGCACUUGGCCUGAGGUCAUAUUCUAGAUCGGGGAUUCUCAACCUUGAACCAAUGACAUUAUGGACUAGACACUUUUUUUUUUUUUUUUUUGGUGGGCAUCUGUUUUGUGCAUUGCAAGAUACUUGGCAGCAUCUCUGAAAUCUACCCACUCACUGCCAAUACCUUCUGCCUGACCAAUAGUGAGAAUGAAAAUUUGGUAUUGCCAAAUGUUCCCUGGUGGCUGAGGGGGCUGCAUCCGGUGCAGAACCUCCAUUCUAGAGUAAUAUGGAGAAGAGGACACUGCUUUCUCAGGAAUGGUCAGGUGAACUAAAUGGACAGUUUUAGCAACAAAUCAGGAAUCUGUUUGGCUUCAGGCUAUGUAGAGAAUCACAGUGAUCGCUGGAGAAUAUCUCAGAGUUCAGGAUGGGGAAGCAGAUGGUAACUAACAAGGACAGAAAAUGUUUUAUAGCUGCUCUGGGGCAGGGGUAAAAAUAGAGAAAAUCGGGAGGGAAGGAAGACCCUCAGACUUACCUGAAAGCUAGAUUUUCAAUUAUGUCUCUUAAUGGAAUGUCGGCUCGUAAGGGCAAAGCUGACAAGUAUGAAAGAGUGAUGGUUCUGUGAAAUAAAGAGUAGAGGGAGAUGGUUUGCUGAUUAAAUUGCUCAUUAUCUGGAGGCUAUGAAGAAAACCAGUCAAUGAAUUAGUGUGGUGAAAAAUAACUUUCAUUUUUCCAGAAGUCAAACAAUUUUUUCCAGAUGCAUACUCCCGCCACCCAAAAAAACCCCGAUCAGAUUUGUUUUUCAUGACUUACAAUCACAAGUCUUGUUUACCAACAAGUGAUUGAGGUAAAGUGUAAUGCAAUGAGUUAAUAGAUAUAAAAAACUUACUGUCCCAUAGCAAGCUUUAGAAAACGUUAAUUAUCAUUAGUUAUUAAA